GACGAACGCUGGCGGCGUGCCUAAUACAUGCAAGUAGAACGCUGAAGGAAGGAGCUUGCUCUUUCUGGAUGAGUUGCGAACGGGUGAGUAACGCGUAGGUAACCUGCCUGGUAGCGGGGGAUAACUAUUGGAAACGAUAGCUAAUACCGCAUAAAAUUGAUUAUUGCAUGAUAGUCAAUUAAAAGGUGCAACUGCACCACUACCAGAUGGACCUGCGUUGUAUUAGCUAGUUGGUGGGGUAACGGCUCACCAAGGCGACGAUACAUAGCCGACCUGAGAGGUGAUCGGCCACACUGGGACUGAGACACGGCCCAGACUCCUACGGGAGGCAGCAGUAGGGAAUCUUCGGCAAUGGACGGAAGUCUGACCGAGCAACGCCGCGUGAGUGAAGAAGGGUGUCGGAUCGUAAAGCUCUGUUGUAAGAGAAGAACGAGUGUGAGAGUGGAAAGUUCACACUGUGACGGUAUCUUACCAGAAAGGGACGGCUAACUACGUG
rnacentral:rRNA from 1 species